rnacentral:rRNA from 1 species
GCAUCCUGGGGCUGUAGUCGGUCCCAAGGGUUGGGCUGUUCGCCCAUUAAAGCGGUACGCGAGCUGGGUUCAGAACGUCGUGAGACAGUUCGGUCCCUAUCCGUCGCGGGCGUAGGAAAUUUGAGAGGAUCUGUCCUUAGUACGAGAGGACCGGGAUGGACAUACCGCUGGUGUACCAGUUGUUCUGCCAAGGGCAUCGCUGGGUAGCUAUGUAUGGAUGAGAUAAACGCUGAAAGCAUCUAAGUGCGAAACUCACCUCGAGAUAAGAUUUCCCAUUCCUUUAUGGAAGUAAGACCCCUGAGAGAUGAUCAGGUAGAUAGGAUGGAAGUGGAAGUACGGUGACGUAUGGAGCGGACCAUUACUAAUCGGUCGAGGACUUAACCAAG